UGGGGAAUAUUGCACAAUGGGCGCAAGCCUGAUGCAGCCAUGCCGCGUGUAUGAAGAAGGCCUUCGGGUUGUAAAGUACUUUCAGCGCGGAGGAAGGCGUUGUGGUUAAUAACCGCAACGAUUGACGUUACUCGCAGAAGAAGCACCGGCUAACUCCGUGCCAGCAGCCGCGGUAAUACGGAGGGUGCAAGCGUUAAUCGGAAUUACUGGGCGUAAAGCGCACGCAGGCGGUCUGUCAAGUCGGAUGUGAAAUCCCCGGGCUCAACCUGGGAACUGCAUCCGAAACUGGCAGGCUAGAGUCUUGUAGAGGGGGGUAGAAUUCCAGGUGUAGCGGUGAAAUGCGUAGAGAUCUGGAGGAAUACCGGUGGCGAAGGCGGCCCCCUGGACAAAGACUGACGCUCAGGUGCGAAAGCGUGGGGAGCAAACA
rnacentral:rRNA from 1 species